GACGAACGCUGGCGGCGUGCCUAAUACAUGCAAGUUGAGCGCUGAAGGUUGGUACUUGUACCAACUGGAUGAGCAGCGAACGGGUGAGUAACGCGUGGGGAAUCUGCCUUUGAGCGGGGGACAACAUUUGGAAACGAAUGCUAAUACCGCAUAAAAACUUUAAACACAAGUUUUAAGUUUGAAAGAUGCAAUUGCAUCACUCAAAGAUGAUCCCGCGUUGUAUUAGCUAGUUGGUGAGGUAAAGGCUCACCAAGGCGAUGAUACAUAGCCGACCUGAGAGGGUGAUCGGCCACAUUGGGACUGAGACACGGCCCAAACUCCUACGGGAGGCAGCAGUAGGGAAUCUUCGGCAAUGGACGAAAGUCUGACCGAGCAACGCCGCGGGAGUGAAGAAGGUUUUCGGAUCGUAAAACUCGGUUGGUAGAGAAGAACGUUGGUGAGAGUGGAAAGCUCAUCAAGUGACGGUAACUACACAGAAAGGGACGGCUAACUACGUG
rnacentral:rRNA from 1 species